rnacentral:ribozyme from 1 species
UUCCCAGCAACUCCUAUCCCUAGCUCCCUGUGGUACCGGCCGGAAGCUGAGAGCAAACUUAGGGAAGAUCAGAUAACCAACUCCAAUGGGAACUUUGGUGGUAGGCUGACAGGGAAGG